CAUAGCAGCCAUAUCACCCUGCAACUCACAACUGGCAACCCACUGGAGCUAAGCAGGUGUGAGCCUGGUCAGUACCUGGAUGGGAGACCUCCUGGGAAAAACUAAGGUUGCUGCUGGAA
ensembl:rRNA 5S_rRNA 5S ribosomal RNA